UGGCGUAAUAGGCAGCGCGUUCGGCUGUUAACCGAAAGGUUGGUGGUUCGAGCCCACC
rnacentral:tRNA from 1 species